rnacentral:lncRNA from 1 species
AAAAAGUCAAACAUAAGGUCAAACAUCACAUCCUGUUGAGCUCUUCUAUACGGUUACAGGAACGCAGAAGCCCUAAAAAAGAAUUUGGGUUCAAGAUCAAUUUCUAAUAGCUGCAACCUGAAAGUUGUAAAAUUAGGGUUCGUCUUUGAAUUUCCAAUAUUUCCAUCCUCUUGUUCUGAAAGAGUUACGGUUUUCUAUCACUCAAAUUCUAAUUUGUUUAAUCAGAUACAUAUAAUUCCGGCAUUAAUCAAGACAAUUGAGGUUUUCAUCAUAAGUCGCAGAUCAAUGGAGCGAAAACGAGCUUUUGCUUCGUUAGAUGGUAGAAAGAGACAGCGAAUGUUGGAAUUAGAGAAGAUUACAAUCGACUUUCAGAGAGAAUUGGAGCAGCAGAAGAAGCAGAAACUUGAGAAGCUGCAAGCUCAGAUUUCAAAGAUAACGCUUACAGAUAAUCAAGACAUUGAUUUUAUGCAGAAUGUAAGCAGAUAAUCUGGCAUUCAUCUUCAGUUCUUUUUCUUUUUUGCUUCAUUGAGUUUCUGCUUUUGAUAAUUUCGUUUUUGAGACAUAAUCAAAUCAUAAUCGUAUACUAAUUUCAUAAAUUGUGAAUACAAUUGAAUCAUAGAUUUAAACUGGAUCUGGGAAAAGCUCAUCUUUAAGCGAAGGAGCGAUCCAUUGAAUCUGAAUAUAAGUGAUUUCCCACAAAUCAUUCCCUUCUUGAGGUACCAAUAUUUCCUUCUCUUGCAUAGUCUGGAUCAUCUUCUUCAAUAAACCAGGAACAAGUUCUCGCAUCUUCGAUUCUCCAUAAACCCCAAGAUCUGCUUUCAUAACACUAUCCAUUCUUCUCAACAUACUCAACCAAAACGUCUUGAAUCCAGGGCUCUCCACCAGCACCUUCAAGAAUUGCAGAUAAACAUCCACAAAAAACUCCAUAGCCAACUUCAAUGUCCCUUCCAUGCUCCUCGUUUCCCUCUCUGCGUUCUCUCUCGUGGAAUAUUCCAACAUCUUCUCGUGCACAUCAUCCACCAGUGCAAAAAUCACCAAAUUGAAACAUUGCAUGAUGUUGUUUGGAGUGAAGUAAAGCUCAUCAGCGUUUAUGAAGCUUUUAUGGAGGGAGGUAACCGCGUAGUUUCUUACCUCUUCUCGUCUCGCUAAACUCGUCUUCCUCAAAACUUCUCCAACCUUCACGAACAGAUUCAUUGACAUGUUCAUGGUUCCGAGAGCUUUCGUGUUAUCAUCAAUGGACGCCGAACUGUUUAUGCUCGAAUUACUCCCCGGAUCCGAGUAACCGUUUCUCGACCAUUGGACUAUCAAUUUCACCGAAUCCGCCAUUAAAUCCAUCAGCUUCAUGUUCUUAUCCACCGGACUGUUUCUCAACGCGACAAAUCCAAACGCACAAUCGAUACAAGAUGGGUAAUUUGUAACUGAAAUCCCCGAACCAUCUGCCAUUAGGUUUAUUAGCGCUUUGACACCACGUUCAUAACUCUCCGGAUGUCGACCUGUGAUUGACAACAAAUGAAGAACAGUUUUCCACCCUAAUUGAGACAAUAAAUUCCCUGAAUACUUGUUUAAAAUCUUCGUAACCGAUUGGAUUAUGAAAUCGUUACAAGUAUCGAGAAUCUCCCGUUCCAAUUUCCACAUCAUGUUUAUCGAUUUGAAAAUAAGUUCUUCAGCAACCUUUUCAUUCGACCUAGACGCAAGAAGCUUCAAGCAGAUUCUUAUCAGCGCAACAAUGGCUUUUUCUGCAAACGGAAUCGGUGAAAAAGUCGGCAAUUGAACGACAGUGAGAAGAUACUCAUUAUAAGUCGGCCAGAAUUGUGUAAGCCGGUGGACAUUACAAGACGCCAUCGCUUGAAUCAAAUCCCAACAAAACUGAACCGUUUCCUCUUCUUCCACCGGAGUAUUAAACUUCUGCCCUUUUCCCGCCGCCGCAAAAAUCAACGACCGGCCAAGGUUUAGCAACGGAUCGAGCGGUAAUGUCGAACUCUUACUGAAAAUACUUCCGAUUUGACAUUGUUGAAUAACUUUCAAAUUCUGUUCGAAUUCACUUAUCCCAAGGUUUAACGACUCUUCUAGAUUCUCCAUUGAUAAACAAUGAGAUAUCGCCGCCAUUAAAUUAGAGGUGUUGAUCUUUCCCGUUUGAUCUUUGCUAAUCACCGAUUCCGAUUCCCCCCGUCUAUGCAGGCGGCCAUUGGCGGUAGAACUCCCGACAUCGACCACCGAUUGUGGCAACAAUUUAAGUUUUUUUAAUUUCAAUAAACAAUCAAUAAUACUCCUCCAUCCUCCCCUAAUUGAAUUCUUGAAAUUAUUAGCGACAGUGAAAACUGCAAGUGUCGCCAUUCGUGGCUUCAAAUCAUGCCCAAAUGAAAACAAAGUUUCUUCAGCUGAAGCAUACGGAUUCAACAAAGUUGUAAAUUUACAAAACGAGGAUAUAAGUUCAUCUAAAGUAUCUUCAAGUCCAUAUUGACAAAUCCUCGCAAUUGCAAAUAAUCCUUCAAUGCAUUCAUGAAUAAUUUCUUCAUCUUCAGCAUGUUCAAAAAUAGCGGAAAGUGUCGCUACAGAUGGGCCCGCAAUCACCGCAAACAUAUCUCUCCCGAUCCUCCGAUCGAAUCCACACUUGACAUACGGUAGGAUUAAGUUCGAUUUGUUUAUGAGUUGGAUCCAACGGCUAGGAUUCAUCUCGAUCGGGGAACCGGUUUGACCAAAGAUCGUGAUUGCUUUACUCGCGAUCGAUUGGAAAAGAUCCGAUAGGUAUUCGCGCGGGAGAUCGUUGCCUCCGUUUAUCGCGCGAUUAUUUCUUAUAAAUUCCUCUUCGGUCAUUUUCUUUUUGACUUGCGGGUUAUGUUGAUCAGUGUUUAACAUGAUGACCGAAUAACAUAAUAUGAAAACCGCGUCUUUACUCACAAAAAUUUCCGAUGAUUGUUGAUUGUAAAAACGUUCGGAAAAUGCUUCUAGAAUUCUAUGGAUCUUUUGCGAUUCACCCGGGAGGCGGAAUGUUUCUAGAUAUGUUCGUAAAGCAGUGUCGAGUACCAACCCGGUUAACUCGAAUGACUCGGUGAAUUCUUUGAGGACUUUGAGAUUAAACUCACCCGGGUCACCAAGAAAGUCACCGAUUUUGACUUUAUCGAGGCCCGGAGUGUACCGAAAAAACAUUGCGUAGCCUCUCGGGUCAGGGGAAUCGGAAAUUAGCUUUGAUAUUUUCAAAUAAUCCAACCCUUUUUUAUCAUCGCGAUUGAAAUGACUUCCUGCGAUCAUUAUCUUUCUCUUUUGCGCCUUUCUGAGUCGUACCGAGUCAAUCCAUGUUUCCGACUCGGUACCUUCCACCGGGGUUUCCUCCCAAAACGGUUUAUAAUCGGUAAUCUCAACCGGGUAUGGGCCUGUACCCGAGUCGGUUUGUUUAUCGACAAAAUCAGCGAUAUUAUGGAUUAAAACCAUAAGCCCUUCGAAAGAUUGAAAUUGUAAGCUCGUGGGAGCGGUUCCACCUGAUAAAAAUGCGUGUUUGCAAAGAGUUUUUCCGAUUUCUUCGAAAAUAUUGUUAAACAUCGGAUCACAAUCGUAAUUUAUGUAGGCUUCGAUUAUGAAAGUUGGUUGUCUGCAAAAGUUUAUAAUCCCUUCGAUUGCAAGUUCUUGGAGUUGAAUUGAGUAACCUUGGUUUGCGGUUUUGAAUAAAACGAAUAGAAAGAAUGCCUCGAGCUGUAAACGGAUCGAUUUCCGAUGGAAAUAAUAGAUGUUGAAAACCGUACUGCAAAUCAUCGAGAACACAAGCGGGCUUGAAGAUGUUCCGUAAUGGAUUAAAUGAUGGAAAAGAUCAUCUUUAACCAUUCGUAAUAGCUUCUUGUGUUUUCCGAUUCCGUCCCCGCUCAAUUCCAACGCCGAGUUGAUUAACACAAGCGCGAAAACUUGCACAUCUUCGUCCGCAGUUAACGACGGAGACCCGUCGGAAUCAACGAUUCCUACGACGUUAAGUAGCGAACAAAGGAAGUGAAAUAUGUCAACCGCACACCGAAUUCCAUACCCGGUUUCAUCCGUCGCGUCUUCGGUAUCUGACUCUGAAUUCUCCCAAUCCCCGACUUCAAUCUCCAAGAGCCGCGAAAAUAUAAUUUGUAUCAAAUCAUGCAUCGUAUGGCGGGCGGUUCUUUGUAAGAGAUCACCUUGGUUGGCUGCCUGCUGAACAACUUGAAAACACGUGUUGACGAUCGUGCACACUGCAUGAUCAUUAAGGAGGACGGAGGCAACAUGGCGCAUCACCGCCGCUAAAACCUGCAAAAUCCUCAUCAUCACGGCGGCUUCCGUCACCGGAUGUGUCUUUUCGAGGCGGCAUCCGGUGACCGCCAUGACAACGUUUGACACUGCUUCACGAGCUCCCGGUGUUUUCUUGUCAAACAUAUCGAGUUUUAGCAUCUUUAAAAUGGAGGAGAGGGCAACUGCGGUGGCGGCGGCGGGUACAUCGUCAGAGGAGAUGACGUCGAGAAACGGGGAGAGGUAGAUUGACGGAUCGACUGCCCGCCAUGAUUGGCGGGGAUUGAAGAUUAGUGAUCUUAGUGAUUUUAAAGAACUCAAUAUAUUUGAAUCCAAGGCGUCGUCUAGGUAAAUAUAUGAGGAUGGGUCAGAUCUGCGGCGGAUUACUGCUAGAACUGCCCCGACCUCUGUAUUUAACAUACAUGAGAUUCCCAGCUCUUUUGAUUUUCUGAUUUUGAUUGUUUUGUCAUCUUCCUCGUCCUCGUCAUCUUCCUCAUCCUCAUCAUCAUCUUCGUCAUCGUCUUCCUCCUCUUCCUCCACCUCCUCUUCUUCUUCGUUUUGUUUCCCCAUUUAAUUCACCGAUUUGAAUAGUGACGGAAUCUCUUUUGCAAUGGGAGCAUAUGAAAUUACCAUUUUUUUUGUAAAGAUUUACUCUGUUGAAGUGAGGAUAAUGUGUGAAGGACAGGGGUAAUUUGGGAAUUUAGUAUGUGAAACUAGGUGUAAAAGGAAGAAAGAAAGAUGGGUAUGGUGGUGUGAGGUAAAACAAGAGGAUGAACCGAAUGGUAGUACCUAAAAUUACUCUUUAUAUUUUGGUUUUCAGUGGCUAUAAUUCAGUUUUUGAAUAUUUCUACCUCUAAUCUCUCACUUCUAAAAUUAUAGUUUUUAUUUAUUUAUUUAUUUAUUUAUUAUUAUUUUUUUAAAUCCUUUUAACCAACAUAUAAAGCAAUUUUAUUUGUUAAUAUCAUUAAACCAAAAUAUGAACAAAUUAUUCUCAUAAUACAUUACUUGACAAUAAUGAUGAAGAUCAUUUUUUGAUCAAAUAAUGGUAAAUUUAUAUGUAAAAUUUAUCAUUAUUUGAUCAAUUAUUUGAUCAAUAGGCUAUUUUGGGAAAGCCUAGAGCCACGGGGAAUCAUAUAUGGGCGUGGCCACGGUUUUAACGUGAAGAUAAUGAUCAAGACCCUCAAUUCCCGAUUCUUUUCCAAACCCACUCAUUUUAUACCCUCCAUGAGGGGCAUCUUUGUCA